rnacentral:rRNA from 1 species
GAUGAACGCUAGCGGGAGGCUUAACACAUGCAAGUCGAGGGGUAAAUGGUAGCAAUACUAUGAGACCGGCGGACGGGUGCGUAACGCGUAUGCAACAUACCUUUAGCAGGGGGAUAGCCCGUGGAAACGCGGAUUAAUAUUCCAUAGUCCAGCAGUAUCGCAUGGUACCACUGGUAAAGAUUAAUCGGCUAAAGAUUGGCAUGCGUCUGAUUAGUUAGUUGGUAGGGUAACGGCCUACCAAGGCGACGAUCAGUAGGGGUUCUGAGAGGAUUACCCCCCACACUGGUACUGAGACACGGACCAGACUCCUACGGGAGGCAGCAGUGAGGAAUAUUGGUCAAUGGGCGGAAGCCUGAACCAGCCAUCCCGCGUGAAGGAAGACAGCCUUACGGGUUGUAAACUUCUUUUCGUCAGAAGAAUAAGCUUGUCGAGACGAGUGAUGCCGGUAUGACAGGAAUAAGCAAUCGGCUAACUCCGUGCCAGCAGCCGCGGUAAUCAUA